GACGAACGCUGGCGGCGUGCUUAACACAUGCAAGUCGAACGGAAAGGCCCUGCUUUUGUGGGGUGCUCGAGUGGCGAACGGGGGAGUAACACGUGAGUAACCUGCCCUUGACUUUGGGAUAACUUCAGGAAACUGGGGCUAAUACCGGAUAGGAGCUCCUUCUGCAUGGUGGGGGGUGGAAAGUUUCGGCGGGUGGGGAUGGACUCGCGGCUUAUCAGCUUGUUGGUGGGGUAGUGGCUUACCAAGGCUUUGACGGGUAGCCGGCCUGAGAGGGUGACCGGCCACAUUGGGACUGAGAUACGGCCCAGACUCCUACGGGAGGCAGCAGUGGGGAAUAUUGCACAAUGGGCGGAAGCCUGAUGCAGCAACGCCGCGUGCGGGAUGACGGCCUUCGGGUUGUAAACCGCUUUCGCCUGUGACGAAGCGUGAGUGACGGUAAUGGGUAAAGAAGCACCGGCUAACUACGUG
rnacentral:rRNA from 1 species